UGCUACUAAUAGCACUUAAACAGUUUAGGUAGGAGGUAGCUGUACACCUUGUAUAUAUUGACCACAACCCUCACAUUUUUUAUUUCAUGCAUUUCCAACCUGACAGUUUGCUGGUCAGUGUGUCUACAAGCUGAUGCUGACAGAAAUUAAGCUGUAAAUAAACCUAAUCUGACUACAGGGUGAAGAACCUGUGGAUAAAGCUGGAGAUAAAAUGCUUUUUGUCUCCAUGCUGCUAAGGCUCGUUUUUCUUACCAUUUCCUCAGUAUUUCAUUUUGUUUGACGGUGACAGUAACUGACUUCCGUCUUCCAACUUCCUACUUCAUCAAAUGAGCAGCAUAAUUUUUAGGUUAGAAAAGGUUUAGAUAGAUUGUUUUAGUAAAUCUGUUAAUAGCAACACAAUUAUUAUUUAUCAAUUUUUCUUUGUCAGAGGGUUUCUCGUACAACUGUCAGACGUUUAGCCUUUUAGAACAUUUAGAAUUAGACGUCUAGUAAGAGUAGGCUGAAGCAGCUUUUCUGUGUCCGUCCGAGUUAAACAAUGCUUCGUAGUGCGGCUGUUCCGUUACUCUGUUUGGUGGUGUGGUUCCAUCAAGCAGACAGAGGUGAAGCUGUGAGGAGCGUUAUUGGUUAUAUCAACGAGUCAGUUGUGCUGAGGUCAGGAGCUGAUCCAUCAUGGACUCUUAAAACUAUUCAGUGGUCGAUCUAUGAGAACUUAACUUACAUUGCAACAUUUGACAACGAUAGAAUUAGAGAUAAUAGGUGGCCACAAUUCAUGGGCCGACUUGAGCUCAGUAUAAUUUCAGGAGAUUUAAAAAUUAAAAAUUUAAAGGCUGGAGACUCUAUGGCAUACAAAGUGACUCUUGAAGGACAACGCAGUACAUUACCACUGUCAGAAAAAGACAUUGUCCAGCUGAAUGUUCGAGAGGCUCACAAGUUUUAUGACAAAUCUAUUGGCAGUAUGAGCUAUUCCAUUUGUCUAACUAAAGUCCUGGUCCAAGCAUAAGAGAUGCAUCCCCAUAGCAAAUAACAGAAAAAAAAAAACCUUUCCCUGGGCCCAACAUAACUCUGUUGUACAGUUUACUGAACGAAGGAAAAUGUGUAAUCAAACUUAGAUGCUCCCACAAUAGCAGUAACAUUUCUCUCACGUGGAAACCUGAAGAUGUCUUUAAUGAGAGCUUCUUGAGUCACCCUCCUAAUGUCACCAAGGAGUCAGAGUUGUGGACAGACUUCAGUAACAGAGAUGUAAACUUCUUCUGCAUUGCUACUGAUCACAAUCGAGCAAAGUCGAGCAAGCUGAGUGUGAAAUGUCCUGAGACAGAUCCAGGUCCACCCAAUAUCUGCACAUGGUUGAUUUCGGUCAUUUUAUUUUUAUUAGCUAUAAUAUCAUUGAUGUUAUGGAUAUUUAAAGAUGACAUCAGGCAGUGCAUUCAAACCUCUUAGAAUUUGAAAUCCAGCAGCCAUAAUCAGCAUUUCUUCGGUUUGAUUAAAUUAAAGAAUACAGAUGUUAUUGUUAAGGUAUAAGUUUCAUGUUAUUGUUAAUGUUAUAAGUUGUGAAUAUAAUAUUACGCAUGUUUUUUUACUUUGACCAAUAAAAUAAGGACAAGUAUGCCAA